GACGAACGCUGGCGGCGCGCCUAACACAUGCAAGUCGAACGAGCGAGAGAGAGCUUGCUUUCUCGAGCGAGUGGCGAACGGGUGAGUAACGCGUGAGGAACCUGCCUCAAAGAGGGGGACAACAGUUGAAAUGACUGCUAAUACCGCAUAAGCGCACAGUGCUGCAUGGCACAGUGUGAAAAACUCCGGUGGUAUGAGAUGGACCCGCGUCUGAUUAGCUAGUUGGUGAGGUAACGGCCCACCAAGGCGACGAUCGGUAGCCGGACUGAGAGGUUGAACGGCCACAUUGGGACUGAGACACGGCCCAG
rnacentral:rRNA from 1 species